rnacentral:ncRNA from 2 species
GUGAGUCGACACGGGAGUCCCGGGAGUGGGGCUGAGAGUGGACACAGCACCCUGUCCUUACCGUCAAACCUGAUCCGGAUCAUGCCGGCGAAGGGAGCGAAGAGGAUGCCAU